UACGUAGGGGGCAAGCGUUGUCCGGAUUUAUUGGGCGUAAAGAGCGUGUAGGCGGCCUGAAAGGUCAGCUGUGAAAACUCGAGGCUCAACCUCGAGACGUCGGUUGAAACCAUCUGGCUAGAGUCCGGAAGAGGAGUGUGGAAUUCCCGGUGUAGCGGUGAAAUGCGUAGAUAUCAGUCGGAACACCGGUGGCGAAGGCGGCUUCUUGGGCCGUUUCUGACGCUGAGGCGCGAAAGCCAGGGGAGCGAACGGG
rnacentral:rRNA from 1 species